rnacentral:rRNA from 1 species
UACGAAGGGGGCUAGCGUUGCUCGGAAUCACUGGGCGUAAAGCGCCCGUAGGCGGCUUUCUAAGUCAGGGGUGAAAUCCUGGAGCUCAACUCCAGAACUGCCUUUGAUACUGGAGAGCUUGAGUCCGGAAGAGGUGAGUGGAACUCCGAGUGUAGAGGUGAAAUUCGUAGAUAUUCGGAAGAACACCAGUGGCGAAGGCGGCUCACUGGUCCGGUACUGACGCUGAGGUGCGAAAGCGUGGGGAGCAAACAGG